GUUGGUCUAUUUUUAUUGUGGCCGAAGUUUCAAAUCCUUUCUAUAUUUGAGGGUUUGAGAUGUUCCUUUGCCUGCAACCCCAGGCAGUCCGGAGAGGUGCUUGUCUGUUUUCUUGGUGAACCAGCAGAAGCACAGGGUGCUUGUGGUGUGUGUACGCGUGCGUGUACAGCAGUGUGGUCACUAAAUCAAAGGUGCACCUGAACGUGGUGGAGGGAGCUUGGAUUCUGUUCCUGUUCUGGGUAGUGUGGGCUACGUGUCUUCAACCGUCCGUCUCCUCAUCUUUGGUGCUGAUUCACCCACCGUCUCCAGCACUCGUCCGGUGGUGGGUGCAGAGCCCCGUCUUCCCCCCGGGGGACCCUGUGCCCUGUGUUCCAUGUUUUCUUCUUGACUUCUCAUUUUGCUUGAGCGCAUCUUCCUGUAGCCUGAGAAAUGGUGCGUGAGAGAAUGUAUGACAACAUGUCCACAAUGGUGUAUAUAAAGGAAGACAAGUUGGAGAAGCUUACACAGGAUGAGAUUAUUUCUAAGACAAAGCAAGUGAUUCAGGGGCUGGAAGCUCUGAAGAACGAGCAUAAUUCCAUUUUACAAAGUUUACUGGAAACACUGAAGUGUUUGAAGAAAGAUGAUGAAAGUAAUCUGGUGGAGGAGAAAUCAAACAUGAUCCGGAAGUCACUGGAAAUGCUGGAGCUUGGCCUGAGUGAGGCACAGGUUAUGAUGGCUUUGUCCAAUCACCUGAAUGCUGUCGAGUCGGAGAAACAGAAGCUGCGGGCACAGGUUCGUCGCCUGUGCCAGGAGAAUCAGUGGCUGCGGGAUGAAUUGGCCAACACGCAGCAGAAAUUACAGAAGAGUGAGCAGUCUGUGGCUCAACUGGAGGAAGAAAAGAAGCAUCUGGAAUUCAUGAAUCAGUUAAAAAAAUACGAUGAUGACAUCUCUCCAUCCGAGGACAAAGACACUGAUUCCACCAAAGAACCUCUGGAUGACCUUUUCCCAAAUGAUGACGACGAACCCGGCCAAGGAAUCCAGCAGCAGCACAGCAGUGCAGCGGCCGCGGCGCAGCAGGGCGGCUACGAGAUCCCGGCGCGCCUGCGCACUCUGCACAACCUGGUCAUCCAGUACGCCUCCCAGGGGCGCUACGAGGUGGCCGUGCCGCUCUGCAAGCAGGCCCUGGAGGACCUGGAGAAGACUUCGGGCCACGACCACCCAGACGUGGCUACCAUGCUGAACAUCCUGGCCUUGGUGUACAGAGACCAGAAUAAAUACAAAGAUGCCGCAAAUCUACUGAACGAUGCCUUGGCCAUCCGUGAAAAAACUUUGGGCAAAGAUCAUCCCGCGGUGGCGGCCACUCUGAAUAACCUUGCAGUGCUGUACGGCAAGAGAGGGAAGUACAAAGAGGCCGAGCCGCUGUGUAAAAGAGCCCUGGAGAUCAGAGAAAAGGUUUUGGGAAAGGAUCACCCCGAUGUUGCGAAGCAGUUGAACAACUUGGCCUUACUGUGCCAGAAUCAGGGCAAAUAUGAAGAAGUAGAAUAUUAUUAUCAAAGAGCCCUUGAGAUCUACCAAACAAAACUGGGGCCUGACGACCCCAAUGUGGCCAAAACGAAAAAUAACCUGGCCUCCUGCUAUCUGAAGCAAGGAAAAUUCAAGCAAGCAGAAACACUGUACAAAGAGAUUCUCACUCGUGCACACGAAAGGGAGUUCGGUUCUGUGGAUGAUGAAAAUAAACCCAUUUGGAUGCACGCUGAAGAAAGAGAAGAAUGCAAAGGAAAGCAAAAGGAUGGGACAUCUUUUGGAGAAUAUGGCGGCUGGUACAAAGCCUGCAAAGUUGAUAGUCCGACUGUUACAACUACUUUGAAAAACCUCGGGGCACUUUAUAGACGACAAGGCAAAUUUGAAGCUGCGGAAACAUUGGAAGAAGCAGCCAUGAGGUCCCGUAAACAGGGUCUUGACAAUGUUCACAAACAGAGAGUAGCUGAAGUGCUGAAUGACCCUGAGAACAUGGAGAAGCGGAGAAGCCGGGAGAGCCUGAACGUGGACGUGGUCAAGUACGAGAGCGGCCCUGACGGAGGGGAGGAAGUGAGUAUGAGCGUAGAGUGGAACGGGGACGGCACUGGAUCUUUAAAGCGCAGUGGCUCCUUUAGCAAACUCCGGGCUUCCAUUAGACGCAGCAGUGAGAAGCUGGUUAGGAAGCUGAAGGGAGGAAGUUCUCGAGAGAGUGAGCCAAGGAACCCCGGCAUGAAGCGUGCCAGUUCUCUGAGUGUCCUUAACGUGGGUGGCAAGGCAGCCGAAGACCGUGGUUUCCAAGAACGAAAUGAUUAUCUGGCAGACUCGUGAGCUCCGAGUGCCAGCCACACUGACCUGGCCCACUGAGGGUCGGGGCAGAGCUAGAUAAAAAUCCCCGAGACUUAACGGGGACACUGAGACCCUCAGAGCUUUGCCAAGCUCCUCUACUCUGCCCGGGACUCACCUCCCCAGUGACUUCCUUUUCUAGGUGGUGACCUCUACCACCUCGUGGCGGUUUGCCCCGAAUUCUGUUAAGCUGCCUGCAGUCCUAGUGAGCUAGAGCUGCUGGAGCGUGAGACUGGCCAGGCGUGGCGCCGGCAGCCUCAGCGGGUUUGGGACUGGCCGCUGUUCACGGACACUUGUACUUUCUGCCACUACGCGAAGAUCUGUUUGCAGUUUUAGUAUUGUAUUAAGGCUAUAAAUGAAGACUCCGGAACCUUAAACUGCAUCUUUCUAGAAUGAGCAUCUGAUGGUCUGGGGCCAUGCUGCCUGGAAUUAAGAGGACAGUUGGUGCUCAGAGCUGGGAGAGACAGGGCGUCUUCGGUAGAGCCUCUUUUUGUGGAAAAUGAUGGCAGCAGCAGUGGUCUCGAGGACGCCAGCAUUAACUGAAACCACACCCGGCCCUGGAGGACCCAGGACAACACUGCUCGUGUGCAGCCAGAGCCUGCCCUGUGACAGCCAGGGGAUGGUCACCAAGGCUGGAGGGCCCUGGAGCUGAGAGCCUGCAGCACUAACCUCGUCUUCUGUGUCCCCGUGCCACCAGCACACUGUCCUACUAACAGCCACACCGCUCACCAGGACGCGUCGCUUGCAAAGCCAUGGCCACGCUCAGCCCCUCCAGGGUGACGGGGUGGGCGCAGCCUCCCUCCUGGGCCGCGGUUCCCGGGACACCCGUGUCCCGAAAGUGCAAGGAAGAGGCAUUGGCUGCCUGGGCCCGUGUGCCCAAUCUUACCGUGUUACUUCCCGAAGCUGUGUGUGAUAUGUUCUAUUGUAAAUUUUUUUAAAAUUAAAAGUUUAUAUGCCUUA